rnacentral:rRNA from 1 species
CCUACGGGAGGCAGCAGUGGGGGAUAUUGGACAAUGGGGGAAACCCUGAUCCAGCGAUGCCGCGUGAGGGAAGAAGGUUUUCGGAUUGUAAACCUCUGUGGAUGGGGACGAUAAUGACGGUACCCCUUUAGUAAGCCACGGCUAACUACGUGCCAGCAGCCGCGGUAAUACGUAGGUGCCGAGCGUUAUCCGGAUUUAUGGGGUUUAAAGGGUGCGUAGGCGGAUUUGUAAGUCAGCGGUAAAAAUGCGGGGCUCAACGCCGUAUCGCCGUUGAAACUGCAGGUCUUGAGUGAGCGAGAAGUAUGCGGAAUGCGUGGUGUAGCGGUGAAAUGCAUAGAUAUCACGCAGAACCCCGAUUGCGAAGGCAGCAUACCGGGGCUCAACUGACGCUGAGGCACGAAAGCGUGGGGAUCGAACAGGAUUAGAUACCCGUGUAGUC